rnacentral:lncRNA from 1 species
AGGAGUAGAAUGGGACACUAAGUGGUUCUCAUCCUAAGCUUGCAGGGCCAAGUGCUGCCGGGUGUUGGAGAAGUAGUUUGGUUCUGAUGUAGAUGGAUAAUACAGGAUCUAGUGGGAGAUGGCAUUGGACUGGGAAGGGACAUAUCCUUCCCAUUCCAGAAGUAGCUACCAAACUCCAAGAGGCAGAGUCCCUGUCCCAGCACAGAAGAUCAUCCUGGGGCAGAGAGAGCCCAUGGGACAGUGAGCUGCAGGGACCUCGUCUCCUCUAUCGUCUCUUGUUCAGGGUGGUGGUAGAGAUGAUCUUGCUGCUGG